UUGGGUGGCGACCGGCGCNCNNNUGAGUAACGCGUAUGCAACUUACCUAUCAGAGGGGGAUAGCCCGGCGAAAGUCGGAUUAAUACCCCAUGAAACAGGGGUCCCGCAUGGGAAUAUUUGUUAAAGAUUCAUCGCUGAUAGAUAGGCAUGCGUUCCAUUAGGCAGUUGGCGGGGUAACGGCCCACCAAACCGACGAUGGAUAGGGGUUCUGAGAGGAAGGUCCCCCACAUUGGUACUGAGACACGGACCAAACUCCUACGGGAGGCAGCAGCGAGGAAUAUUGGUCAAUGGCCGAGAGGCUGAACCAGCCAAGUCGCGUGAAGGAAGAAGGAUCUAUGGUUUGUAAACUUCUUUUAUAGGGGAAUAAAAUGGAGGACGUGUCCUUUUUUGUAUGUACCCUAUGAAUAAGCAUCGGCUAACUCCGUGCCAGCAGCCGCGGUAAUACGGAGGAUGCGAGCGUUAUCCGGAUUUAUUGGGUUUAAAGGGUGCGUAGGUGGUGAUUUAAGUCAGCGGUGAAAGUUUGUGGCUCAACCAUAAAAUUGCCGUUGAAACUGGGUUACUUGAGUGUGUUUGAGGUAGGCGGAAUGCGUGGUGUAGCGGUGAAAUGCAUAGAUAUCACGCAGAACUCCGAUUGCGAAGGCAGCUUACUAAACCAUAACUGACACUGAAGCACGAAAGCGUGGGGAUCAAACAGGAUUAGAUACCCUGGUAGUCCACGCAGUAAACGAUGA
rnacentral:rRNA from 1 species